GGUUCGGGCGGCGGGGGCGGGGCCGGGGUGGUGCCGGGCUGCAGCGGGCCGGGCAAGAUGGCUGCCGUGGAGGCCGAGAUCGGGCCGUUCACCCUGGAGUCGCUGCCCACCGACCCCCUUCUGCUCAUCUUAUCCUUCGUGGACUACAGGGACCUAAUCAAUUGUUGCCAUGUCAGUCGAAGACUCAACCAGCUCUCAACUCAUGAUCCUUUGUGGAGAAGACAUUGCAAAAAGUACUGGCUGAUAACCGAGGAAGAGAAAUCCCGGAAGAAACAGUGCUGGAGAUCUCUCUUCAUCUCUACUUACUCAGAUGUAGGAAGAUACAUUGACCAUUAUGCUGCUAUUAAAAAGGCCUGGGAUGACCUCAAGAAGUACUUGGAGCCCAGGUGUCCUCGGAUGGUUUUAUCUCUGAAAGAAGGCGCACGUGAGGAAGACCUGGAUGCUGUGGAAGCUCAGAUUGGUUGCAAGCUCCCUGAUGACUAUCGCUGUUCAUACCGGAUUCACAAUGGGCAGAAGUUAGUGGUUCCAGGGUUGCUGGGAAGUAUGGCACUGUCCAAUCACUACCGCUCUGAAGAUUUACUAGAUGUCGAUACUGCUGCCGGAGGAUUUCAGCAGAGACAGGGACUGAAAUACUGCCUCCCUUUAACCUUCUGCAUUCACACGGGCUUGAGUCAGUACAUAGCUGUGGAAGCUGCAGAGGGCCGGAAUAAAAACGAAGUGUUCUACCAAUGUCCAGACCAAAUGGCUCGUAAUCCUGCUGCUAUUGACAUGUUUAUCAUAGGUGCUACUUUUACUGACUGGUUUACAUCCUAUGUCAACAAUGUUGUAUCAGGUGGCUACCCCAUCAUCAGAGACCAGAUUUUCAGAUAUAUUCAUGACCCAGAGUGUGUAGCAACAACUGGAGAUAUUACAGUUUCAGUGUCCACAUCAUUUCUGCCAGAACUCAGCUCUGUCCACCCACCACACUAUUUCUUCACAUACCGAAUCAGGAUUGAAAUGUCAAGGGAAGCACUUCCGGAAAAGGCCUGUCAGUUGGACAGUCGCUACUGGAGGAUAACAAAUGCUAAAGGGGAUGUGGAAGAAGUUCAAGGACCUGGCGUAGUUGGUGAAUUUCCAAUUAUUAGCCCAGGUCGGAUAUAUGAAUACACAAGCUGUACCACAUUUUCUACAACAUCAGGCUAUAUGGAAGGGUAUUACACCUUCCAUUUUCUGUACUUUAAGGACAAGGUCUUUAAUGUUGCCAUCCCCCGAUUCCACAUGGCAUGUCCAACAUUCAGGGUGUCUAUAGCCCGAUUGCCUCCCAAGUGCUAGAUGUGUGCCACCAUGCCUACACCAGACCAGACUUCCAUUUUUGGUUAGCCCAGAAUCUGUAUGAGCUUGGUACCAUCUUAUCCUUAAAUGGUUGAUAUUCAUCAGUGAAGCUGUCUGGGACUGGAAUUUGCUCUGUGGGGAAUUUUAAAACAUGGACUUAAUUUCUUUAAUAUGUAUAUUUUCUAUUUCUUCUUUCAGUUUUGGUAAUUUGUGCCUUUCAAAGAAUUUGUUCAUUUCAUCUAAAUGUUGAAUUUAUUUGUAUAAGGUUAUUCACAAUAUUACCUUGAUAUCCUUUUAAUGGCUACAAGAGCUGUAGUCAAAUACCCUCUUUUAUUAUUGAUAUCGGUGAUUUAUAUUGAUUAUUCAAAAUGGAACAACAUUUAGUUUUGAUGGGUUUUCUGUACUGUUUGCUUUUUUUCUGUCUCAGUGAUUGGUGCAGUUAUCUUUAUUUCUCUCUUACUUACGUUGGGUUUAAUUCACUUUUAUUGCAGCUUUUAAAGGUAGAAGUUUAGAUAAUUGAUUGUAGACCUUUCCUGUUUCUAAGCACUGUUUUAGUUGUAUUGCACAAAUUUUGAUGUUAUAUUUUGGUUACUAUUUAGUUCAAAAUAUUCUCAGAUUUCCCUUGUAACUGACUUACAACUGCAUAGAAAUGUUAAUUUUCAAGUAUUUGGAAAACUUUCAUUUGUCUUAUUGCUUAUUGAUUUCUAAUAUUACUGUGGUUAGAGAACUUACUGUGUAUUGCUAAUGUUUUUUAAUGUUUUAUGGCCCAAAAUUAUGUGAAGAAUUUCUUUAUCUUGGUAAAUGACCUUGUGUAUGUCAUUUGAAAAGAAUGUAUAUUGUGCCAUGUGAGAAUUUACUCUAUAAAUGACAGGCCGAACUGGUUGGUUGAUUGACAGUGUUGUCAGUCAUCUGUAUAUUUCUUGCUCUUUUUCCUAUUUGUUGCUUCAGCCGUUGAAGAGAUUGUUGAAAUACUCAGUUCAUGUUAUGGCUUUGUCCAUUGCUUCAUUCUUGUCAGAUUCGCUCCUGCCUUUUGAAGUUAUGUAAUUGUGUGCCAGUGCUUAGGAUUGUUGUCUGUUUAUGGAAGUGGUUCUUUGAUUAUCAUCUCCAGUAACUUCCUGUCCUAAAGAGCAUUGAGGAAAUGGGUCCUGAUGAAUAUGAAGAGAUGGAGGAGGAAGCUGAGGAAGAGGAAGAAGAAAAUGACUCAGCAGACAUGGACGAAUCAGAAGAAUCAGAUGAGGAUGAGA